rnacentral:rRNA from 1 species
AUUGAACGCUGGCGGCAUGCCUUACACAUGCAAGUCGAACGGUAACGCGGGGCAACCUGGCGACGAGUGGCGAACGGGUGAGUAAAGCAUCGGAACGUGCCCAGUAGUGGGGGAUAGCCCGGCGAAAGCCGGAUUAAUACCGCAUACGACCUAUGGGUGAAAGCGGGGGAUCGCAAGACCUCGCGCUAUUGGAGCGGCCG